rnacentral:rRNA from 1 species
GACGAACGCUGGCGGCGUGCUUAACACAUGCAAGUCGAACGGUGACCCUGGAGCUUGCUCCGGGCGAUCAGUGGCGAACGGGUGAGUAACACGUGAGUAACCUGCCCCAGACUCUGGGAUAACCUCGGGAAACCGGGGCUAAUACCGGAUACGAGACGCUCGGGCAUCCGAAGCGUCUGGAAAGAUUUAUCGGUCUGGGAUGGACUCGCGGCCUAUCAGCUUGUUGGUGAGGUAACGGCUCACCAAGGCGACGACGGGUAGCCGGCCUGGGAGGGCGACCGGCCACACUGGAACUGAGACACGGUCCAGACUCCUACGGGAGGCAGCAGUGGGGAAUAUUGCACAAUGGGCGCAAGCCUGAUGCAGCAACGCCGCGUGGGGGAUGAAGGCCUUCGGGUUGUAAACCCCUUUUAGCAGGGAAGAAGCGAAAGUGACGGUACCUGCAGAAAAAGCGUCGGCUAACUACGUGCCAGCAGCCGCGGUAACAC